rnacentral:rRNA from 1 species
AGCAGCCGCGGUAAUUCCAGCUCCAAUAGCGUAUAUUAAAGUUGUUGCAGUUAAAAAGCUCGUAGUUGAAUUUCGGGGUCUGUCCGUCGGUCGGGCUUCACGGUCCGUACUGGUGUGAUGGGUUCCUACCUUCUGAAUAACCGGCAUGCCAUUCAGUUGGUGCGCCGGGGAAGCAGAGCUAUUACCUUGAAAAAAUUAGAGUGCUUAAAGCAGGCUAGUGCUUGAAUAGAUUAGCAUGGAAUAAUAAAAUAGGACGGCAUGGUUCUAUUUUGUUGGUUUCUAGGAUCACCGUAAUGAUUAAUAGGGAUAGUUGGGGGCAUUAGUAUUCAAUUGUCAGAGGUGAAAUUCUUGGAUUUAUUGAAGACUAACUUCUGCGAAAGCAUUUGCCAAGGAUGUUUUCAUUAAUCAAGAACGAAAGUUAGGGGAUCGAAGACGAUCAGAUACCGUCGUAGUCUUAACCAUAAACUAUGCCGACUAGGGAUCGGACGAUGUUA